rnacentral:lncRNA from 1 species
CAUGUUCUACCAGAGCAAGGAUAUAUGAAAUAGUGUCAGGAAAAGGAAAAUGAAGAUAGAGCAGGGAGGCAGGGUGAGCUGUUUGCAUCCUUCAAAGGAAAGCAAAGGAGUGCCUGUGAAGAUGAACCUUAAUUUAAACCACAGGGAAGAAGAGUGUUAAUGCAACACCCAUCUCAUGCUGCUUUUCCGAUAAGGGCUAUAAUACAGCAAAAGUGGCUGAAGAGGCUUUUCUCAGAGAAUUUUCUAACCAACUUUGUAAAGCCAAGAAGGCAAAACUCUCCUGGAGACCUUUCAUGUUCUUAGUUCACUGAAUUCAAAUGUUUAUGUGAGUCUUCUGCAACUAUUGUCAUUUAAAUAGCUCGCGCUCCUCAAGUGGGAAGGGUGGCUGUGAUGCAGUGUUGUGGAGGCUACCAGUACAUACCAGAAGCCUCAAGAACUCUUCAGCAUUUCUAUCCGGGAUGUGCUAAGAUGUGCAGCCUCCUGCUAUGCUGCUGCUGGUCCAGCUGCUGACUGCACCAUCCUGACGAAAUCCAGGGCUUGUUCCAGUCCGAAGAGAAGGUCUGCAGACAAGGCUGGGACAGCUUGGAUCAGCCUGGGGUGCCAACACUGGCAUUGACCUUCGGGCACUCGGUUCUCCCGGCUGCGCAGUUUCGCCCAGGUCGAUGGAAACGCAGCAAUUGUCUCCGCUCUUCAAAGCUGAAGUAUCUUUCAGCCCUUUCUUCUCCUGCCUUGGGCUCCACAGUGCCAUUCAGCAUACCAAGGAUGAGCAAAACAUACCCAGGUUUGAGAAAUCCUCCCAAAAGUUGGUGUCCCCCCCAUUACAUAUAUAUAUCUAUAUCUAUACAUAUACACACGUGCACACCCAGCACUGCCACCCAGUGGCAUGCUAACACAAAAGGGGGAGGUUGUGAAAUCUUAUUUUAGUUUUUGGGUUUUGUUUUCCCCAAAUGCCAUGAAUACUAUAUAAAAACUUCAU